GCUCCGGUGGCUUAGUGGUUAGAGCAUCUGUCUUGGAUGGAUGAGGUUGUGGGUUUGAUCCCCAGUAGUCAGACCA